AGUGAACGCUGGCGGCAGGCCUAACACAUGCAAGUCGAGCGGCAGCGCGGGGGCAACCCUGGCGGCGAGCGGCGGACGGGUGAGGAAUGCAUCGGAAUCUACCCUGUCGUGGGGAUAACGUAGGGAAACUUACGCUAAUACCGCAUACGACCGAGAGGUGAAAGUGGGGGACCGCGAAGGCCUCACGCGAUUGGAUGAGC
rnacentral:rRNA from 1 species